UACGGAGGGUGCGAGCGUUGUCCGGAAUCACUGGGCGUAAAGGGCGCGUAGGUGGCGCGGGCAGUCAACGGUGAAAGUUCGGGGCUCAACCCUGAAUCGGCCGUCGAUACUCCCGGGCUUGAGCACUGUAGAGGCUAAUGGAAUUCCGGGUGUAGCGGUGGAAUGCGUAGAGAUCCGGAAGAACACCGGUGACGAAGGCGGGUCUCUGGGCCAAUACUGACGCUGAGGAGCGAAAGCGUGGGGAGCGAACAGG
rnacentral:rRNA from 1 species